rnacentral:lncRNA from 1 species
AGAAAUUUUUAGUAAUUCUGGUGAAAACUCGACCAAAUUUAUAGAAAUAUGGAAAUUAAUUAUAUCGACUACAUUAAUAGAAUGUGCAAGCAGCGAUAUCCUGGUACAACAUAAUGCCGCGUCAAGGACAGAGAUACUUCUUUGUCUAACUUUAUGUAUUUUAAUUAAUUACCCUUUCCCUGCAAUAAAUUAAUAUAGUUUUGGAAUUGUAAAAUAAAGAUCAGCUUGCAAGUAAUAUUCCCAUAUAAUUUUAGAACGGGAUAUUUAUUUAAUCACGAAUUAUUAUUGCAGUUGCAGAUCACUUAUAUCUGCAUGUUUUUUUCCAGAAUCUCUAUAAAAAAGGGGAGAACUUUUAUAUAUAUUCAUUAAUCUGUAGGAAACGAAUGAAACUAAAAUAAAUAAUUAAUUAGCUAUUAACAAUUAUCGUAACAAGUGGUAUGAAUACUGCGUUACAUAUCUGCGAUUUCUUAUCAAUAUUAAUAUUAAUGUUAAACUUCUAUGCGAAGAUUAAUUUACAUUCGUACUUGUACUUCAUUCUUCAUGCAUAAGAGUUCAUGCAUAAAUUAAUUACGUAUAACGUGAAUUCUGUGAAAAUGCAUGGCCUCACUCUUAUGCAACGAGUCCAUGCAAUAAUUGUUAAUGACUAUUUGAACAGAAAUUCCGCCACAGAGUUCUGUGUGAGAAUUCCUUGCGUUGGGAUCUUUAUUACGCGACUUUAUUAUACAAUUCCAAAAGUGGACGAAUUCUUUCCUGAAAGAAAAGCAAUUAACGAAUAUUCAAUAAAUUAAAUGGAGAAUUUCCUUAUAUCUGCCCCUGUUGCACAGUAAUGCGCUUCUUGUCUUACACACGGCAUAAGUCUGUCCUUAUCGAAUAGUAGCGUGCUCCUUAGCUAACACCACCUUGCACAUUCCAUUUACCUACAUACAUAUAUUCUUGUUGCUUUUACGCAAUUCAAACCAACUCCAAUAGAUAGCAGCACGGAAGUGACCAUAGAGAAAGAGAACAGUAUUGUGCGACAAGGACAGACAUACAGUGGCGGUCACAAGAGUUUUAAAUUGAGACACUUUGAAUUGUGUACACUGUGUAACUUUUAUGCUAACAAUUUUUUACCAUAUUGAUAACAGUCACCUAUUCUAUCGUAUACGUUACGGUAGAACCUCGAUUAUUAAAAGCAAUGCGGAUUGGCUCCGCCUCGAAUAAUCAGAAACUGAUAAUACGGAAAAGUCUACCAAUGUUCGUAAAACACAUAAUAAAAUCAGAAAAAACAUCUUGAUAAUGCAAUGUUGCAGAUGUGUAUAGAUUUAAUUAAUUAUUCAAUCGGUUAAAAGUUUGAUAAGAUGCUUACACGAUACCAAACUAUUUACGCUUUCGUACUCUUCGUGUUAAAAUUUCGGAAAGAAAAAAGUUAUGGUAAAAUGGGCCUCGAAUAACCGAGACCCCACUGUAUAUUUAUUCAUUGCUCUUAUUAAAUAUAAUUCCAUUUUGUAAAAUUAUGGUAUAUUUUUAUAUUUCUUACGGUAUGAAUUUCUUUUUCGCCACUGUAUGUAUUCGCGACAGACAAAGAGAGCGAUAAUGUGUAAUAAGGAUAGCAAUAAUGUUUAGUUCAGUUUUUCACCACUACGUGGCGAUAUCCAUAAAUCGAACAAAUUUUCGUUAAUGAAAAAGAUUAAUUAAGAAUAUUAGCAUGCGAACUUCUGCAAUUGUAUCUGGCUAAUUGGACCCUCAACUUUCAUUUUUAUGUAAUUUGAACCUCGAUAUACAUUUGUAAAAAAGUGUAUAUCUUUUACGCAAAUAUUCUGAGACGAUACAAUGAACUUACGCAUUAUUUACGUUAUAUCAAAUUGAUUUAUACACUUUUUCGAAUGCAGUACAACGCACAGUUUAAGUUUCUAUAAUUACGUAGAGUUAAACUACACAAAUUUUUAUACGUAUAGUACGUGGACGGAACAAAUGUUUAUAUUAUCCGGUACCAUGGCCCAGGUUUUCGCGCAUGAUUUGCUGGUAAAUUGACCGAGGAAUCCUUCCAAAAAGUAAAAAGGCAGUGAAAGGAAAUCUCCAUACAUUUCCUAGACCAACGGAAGCAGCGAUGCAAGCCAUUAGAAAUUCUAGACCACCUCCCCAUUCUACU